rnacentral:lncRNA from 1 species
GUGGGAAUAAGUAAUUUGUUAUGAAAAACUUAACAUCUUUUCCAAGCUUUGUGUUUUCAAUUAGUGUCUCCCUGGGAUGGUGGUCCUGUGUGUUAAUAGGGCUCUAACUGGCUGCAGAUGGCUCACUACUGCUAAGCUGAAGGAGAGGCAUGAUGGCGGACAGAGACUCCCAACAGGAAACAGGUUCACUGCAUUCCACCAGCAUAUUAGAUGUCCUCUUUGAAUUCAACUGUUACAAUUUUCUCUAAAUUAAACAAAUUUUACUCUUAAGGAAGUUUGAUACAAAAGGUGAGUUAUUUCAAUUGGCCUCAGUUAUCAAUAUUAUAGUUAUGAACAUAUAAAAUAUCUGGACAUUGAGAUAAAUUUGACCCAGAGUUAAGAAAUCUUGGUACAAAUUUCAAUUGUGGCCAGAAGAAGUUUAUUAAAUAGGUGUCUCCAAGAGAGUUUCAUUUUCUACUUACGUAUUCUCUCCUUUCCUUCUCUUUUCUCUCCUUUUCUUUCACUAAACAUAUACUUGGCAGAUAUUCCUUCAAAAAUAAUGUAAGGAGAAAUAAUUAAAGCUAUGGGUCAUGCCUAGAGAACUCUCCAUCUAGUUACCCCCACUUCUUUAACAAACUCCAUAAUGCUGUGUGCUUCUAGGUUUUCAAGAUAGAACUAGUGUUCUAAUCAUUAAUUAAGCUGUUCAAUCGUACUAUCAAAGUAUGAGAUUCAAACUCAACUGCUAUUGCACUAAUCAGUGCAAAACACAAAGCUGGAAGGCCUUAUUACUUUUAACAAGUACUCACAAUAACCUUUGUCUUACAUUGGAUGACAAACUAUUAUUUAUUUUAACAAAGAUCAAGUUUGAGUUUUGCAUUAAGCUCUUAAAAUAAUCCAUGACUCUAGAUACUAACCAUUUAUCAUUUUAAAAUUAUAGUUUAAUAUAUACAUAAACUUUUCA